rnacentral:rRNA from 1 species
UACGGAGGGUGCGAGCGUUGUUCGGAAUUACUGGGCGUAAAGGGCUCGUAGGCGGCCAACUAAGUCAGACGUGAAAUCCCUCGGCUUAACCGGGGAACUGCGUCUGAUACUGGAUGGCUUGAGUUUGGGAGAGGGAUGCGGAAUUCCAGGUGUAGCGGUGAAAUGCGUAGAUAUCUGGAGGAACACCGGUGGCGAAGGCGGCAUCCUGGACCAACACUGACGCUGAGUGAGCGAAAGCCAGGGGAGCAAACGGG